UGCUAGCAGCCGCGGUAAUACGGAGGGUGCAAGCGUUAAUCGGAAUUACUGGGCGUAAAGCGCGCGUAGGCGGUUAUUUAAGUCAGGUGUGAAAGCCCAGGGCUCAACCUUGGAACUGCAUUUGAAACUGGAUAACUUGAGUAUGGUAGAGGUGAGCGGAAUUUCCAGUGUAGCAGUGAAAUGCGUAGAGAUUGGAAGGAAUAUCGAUGGCGAAGGCAGCUUACUGGGCCAAUACUGACGCUGAGGUGCGAAAGCGUGGGUAGCGAACGGGAUUAGAUA
rnacentral:rRNA from 1 species